ACUUAAUUAGUAUUAGUUAUUUUCUUGAAAAUUAAAAAAUUUGGCGGUAUUUUAGUCUUUUCAGAGGAACCUGUCCUGUAAUUGAUAAUCCACGAUUAUAUAUACUUUAAUUUUUAGUUUACAUAUCGUUGUAGAUUGAAUAUUUUAAUAGAAUUUGAAUAUUCAAGAUUUUUUAUUAAAAAGUAAAUCAGAUCAAGGUGUAGCUUAUAUUUAAGAAGAGGUGGGUUACAUUAAAAUUAUUUUAGGAUAUUUUUUUUAAAAAGAAAUUGAAUUUGGAUUUGAUAGUAAUUUAAUAUAUU
rnacentral:rRNA from 1 species